UCAAGCUACUAAGGGCAUACGGCGGAUGCCUAGGCGCCAUCAGCCGAUGAAGGACGCGGUAAGCUGCGAAAAGCUACGGGGAACUGCAAGCAAGUAUUGAUCCGUAGAUGUCCGAAUGGGGAAACCCACCUGCCGUCAUGGGCAGGUAUCCGAAAGGAAGGGAACCCGGGGAACUGAAACAUCUAAGUACCCGGAGGAAGAGAAAUCAAACGAGAUGCCCACAGUAGCGGCGAGCGAAGAGGGCAGAGGGCAAACCGGGGAGCUACGGCUCUCCGGGGUUGAGGACUGCAUUUAGUCUUAAUGGUCUAUCCGAACUACCUGGAAAGGUAGGCAACACAGUGUAAAAGCCACGUAGGUUAAAGACCGGAGAGAUGAGCAGUAUCCAGAGUACCACGAGGCACGAGGAAUCUUGUGGGAAGCCGGGGGGACCACCCUCCAACCCUAAACACUGAAUGGCGACCGAUAGCGCAUAGUACCGUGAGGGAAAGGUGAAAAGAACCCCGGGAGGGGAGUGAAAGAGAACCUGAAACCGUAUGUCUACAAGCAGUCGGAGCGAAAGCGACGGCGUGCCUAUUGAAGAAUGAACCAACGAGUUACGUGCACUAGCGAGGUUAAGUGGAAGACACGGAGCCGAAGCGAAAGCGAGUCUUAAGAGGGCGGAUAGUUAGUGUACGUAGACCCGAAACCGCAGUGAUCUACCCAUGUCCAGGUUGAAGCGCAGGUAAAAUUGCGUGGAGGACCGAACCUGUGAGCGUUGAAAAGCUUUAGGAUGAGAUGUGGGUAGAGGUGAAAUUCCAAUCGAACGCGGAGAUAGCUGGUUCUCCCCGAAAUAGCUUUAGGGCUAGCCUCAAGUAGUAAGUAUAGGCGGUAGAGCACUGAUCGGGCUAGGGGCCAUAAAGGUUACCGAACCCUGUCAAACUCCGAAUGGUUAUACUGUAGAGCUUGGGAGUCAGACUACGAGUGAUAAGAUCCGUGGUCAAAAGGGAAACAGCCCAGACCACCAGCUAAGGUCCCCAAUGUCGUACUAAGUGGAAAAGGAUGUGGGGUCUCUAAAACAACCAGGAUGUUGGCUUAGAAGCAGCCACCAUUUAAAGAGUGCGUAAUAGCUCACUGGUCGAGAGACCCUGCGCCGAAGAUUACCGGGGCUAAAGUACGAAACCGAAGCUGUGGCUACGACAUAUGUCGUGGGGUAGGGGAGCGUUCUGUGAGGGCUGAAGUCGUUCUGUAAGGAACGGUGGACUUCACAGAAGUGAGAAUGUUGGUAUGAGUAGCGAAAAGAAUGGUGAGAAUCCAUUCCACCGAAAGCAUAAGGAUUCCUGGGCAACGAUCGUCGUCCCAGGGUAAGUCGGGACCUAAUCCGAGGCAUGGAGCGUAGGAGAUGGACAACUGGCAGAUAUUCCAGUACCGGUAAUGAUUGUUUGAGCGAUGGAGUGACACAGGAGGGCAGGCAGGCAGGAGAUUGGUUGUUCCUGUACAAGCGUGUAGGAUGGGACGUAGGCAAAUCCGCGUCCUGUGAGUCUGAGGCGUGAUGUGGAGGUUCCGGAAACGGAGCUGAAGCUGCUGACCCCACACUGUCGAGAAAAGCUUCUAGUUAGAGAAUUACCGCCCGUACCGUAAACCGACACAGGUAUGCGGGGAGAGAAUCCUAAGGUGCGCGGGAGAACCCUCGUUAAGGAACUCGGCAAAAUGUACCCGUAACUUCGGGAUAAGGGUAGCCGCUGUUGUGAAGUCUGAACAGACGGAGCAUGAGGCGGUCGCAGAGAAGAGGCCCAAGCGACUGUUUACCACAAACACAGGUGCCUGCUAAAGAGAAAUCUGACGUAUAGGUGCUGACACCUGCCCAGUGCCGGAAGGUUAAGGAAGGAUGUCCGGAGCAAUCCAAAGCAUUCGACCGAAGCCCCGGUGAACGGCGGCCGUAACUAUAACGGUCCUAAGGUAGCGAAAUUCCUUGUCGGGUAAG
rnacentral:rRNA from 1 species